AAGGAGGUACCGUCAAGGGCGGCCGUUUCUUGACCUACCUUUUUCCGUCCCUCCCACAGAGCUUACAACCAAGGCCUUAUUCACUCACGCGGCGUGGCUGGAUCAGGCUUUCGCCCAUUGUCCAAUAUUCCCC
rnacentral:rRNA from 1 species